GUGUAAAUGGAUGUCAAAUUGUUGGCAUUUAAUAGAUUAGAUAUAAUUUUUCCAUCUCCAUGAUCUUCCUUGAAUUAUCUUCCAGUAUUUACUGGGCUUCACUUAACAUUUAUGUCCAGUUUAACUUUUUCUGGCUUCACCAAUUGCUGCUAGGAACGUGGCUGGUCAUUCAGCAACGUAAACCAGAUCACAGGGGAAGACCUUGAAAUAUCUGGAGAGACUGCUUUGCUCUGAAUACUCUCAAUCCAAAGGAGUGGCAGGGAGCUGCAUCUGUUUCAGCUGCUGCUGAAAUUUUUAUCAGGUGUUUUUUCACCGCGGACAAUAAAGCUGGAGAAAAGAGAACCAAAUAACCCAACAGGAAAUGAAGAUGAUUGCUUAAGAGUUGAUUUGACAUGAUCUAAAGCCCACAUCUCUAAGGCUUGCUGGACCUAUCAAACUUUUCAACUUGUCAGAUUGGAAACAACAGAAGACCUAGAACAACAGUCAGAAGACCUAGAAGAGCACAGUGCUGCCGACUCAGUGGUGUAUAAUGCAGACCAUCUACCAAUUGGGGAAGGAAUCAGUUGUAACAGGAACAAAUGGAUUCAGUCCUUAUUUUAACUGUUGUGAUGA
rnacentral:lncRNA from 1 species